CAGCUCAUGUGUGAGGGAAGAGACCCCCUCCAAUGAGAAGGGAGGCAGAGAGUGGGAAAAGUGGCAACUCGGGUACAAAGGAGCAAAGAACGGUGAUUCAUAAGGAGGGUGGGAGAGCCAGGCCUGCCUGCCUCCACGCCUGCCACAGUAUAGAUUCCACGCCUGGCACUUACUUGGCAGAUGAACCACGAGCGCACUGACUGCCAGCUUUAUAAAGGAGGCAUGUGGGAUAUUGGCUCCCUGACUGGGGAUUGAACCUGCACCCCUUGCUAUGGAAGGUGAAGUCUUAACAACUGAACCAUCAGAGAAGUCCUGAGAAAGCCUUAAUAUGGAAAAAAAAAGUCAAUGGAGCUAAGAGAGUGUGCUUAGUAACGUAAUUAGCUUGACUCGUCCACUGCACUGCAGGUGUCCCAGAGCCAGAGAACUGGUCCAAGAACUUAGCACUCUCCACUUGUUUAGUCCAGAGAGGAUGCGGCCCUGAGUGUCAUGCUGAUGGUGAAAAUGGAGAAGCUCAAGAAGACAAAGAAAGCAAAGAAAAGGCUGAAACCCUUGGAUGCUGGUCUGGAUGAGGCAGACUGAAUCUGGGGGAGCAAAAAUGAGGGUUGCAUAGUUGUCAUGCUGAUCUCCCCUGCAGGAUGGGAAACAAGAGAAAAUGGUGACUGCUUUGUAGAGACCCUUAUCCAAUAGUCCCUGGACACCAUGUUGUGCAUCCUAAAUAUUGUCUUAUUUAAUAAAGAUGAUCCCAUCAUAAGAAACCCAGAAAAAGCCAGAAGCUAAAUUGGAGAAGGCCAAGACUAGGAUAGAAGAAACCAUGUAAAACAGUAUCAAGGUUUUGUUUGUUCAUUUCUUUGGUUUAACUAUGCAGAAGUAAACUGACAUCAGUUCUGUUCAGUUCAGUUCAGUCGCUCAGUCGUGUCUGACCCUUUGUGACCCCAUGGACUGCAGCACACCAGGCCUCCCUGUCCAUCACCAACUCCUGGAGUUUACUGUACAGCUUAUCAACUGAUAAGCUUCAGGUUACCUUACCUGUGCUCAUGCUCAGUCGUGUCCUGCUCUUUGUGAACCUAUGGACUGUAGCCCAACAGGCUCCUCUGCCCAUGGAAUUUUCCAGGCAAGAAUGCUGGAGCGAAGGGCCAUUCAUACCGCAGGGGAUCUUCCUGACCCAGGGAUCGAAACCAAGUCUCUUGUGC
ensembl:lncRNA